rnacentral:rRNA from 1 species
GACGAACGCUGGCGGCGUGCUUAACACAUGCAAGUCGAACGAAGAGCGAUGGAAGCUUGCUUCUAUCAAUCUUAGUGGCGAACGGGUGAGUAACGCGUAAUCAACCUGCCCUUCAGAGGGGGACAUCAGUUGGAAACGACUGCUAAUACCGCAUACGAUCUAACCUUGGCAUCGAGGAUGGAUGAAAGGUGGCCUCUAUUUAUAAGCUAUCACUGAAGGAGGGGAUUGCGUCUGAUUAGCUAGUUGGAGGGGUAACGGCCCACCAAGGCGAUGAUCAGUAGCCGGUCUGAGAGGAUGAACGGCCACAUUGGGACUGAGACACGGCCCAGACUCCUACGGGAGGCAGCAGUGGGGAAUCUUCCGCAAUGGACGAAAGUCUGACGGAGCAACGCCGCGUGAGUGAUGACGGCCUUCGGGUUGUAAAGCUCUGUUAAUCGGGACGAAAGGCCUUCUUGCGAAUAGUUAGAAGGAU